GACGAACGCUGGCGGCGUGCUUAACACAUGCAAGUCGAGCGGAAAGGCCACUUCGGUGGUACUCGAGCGGCGAACGGGUGAGUAACACGUGAGUAAUCUGCCCUUGGCUUUGGGAUAGCCACCGGAAACGGUGAUUAAUACCGGAUAUGACCACUUCUCGCAUGGGAUGGAGGUGGAAAGGUUUUCGGCCAGGGAUGUGCUCUCGGCCUAUCAGCUUGAUGGUGAGGUAAUGGCUCACCAUGGCUUCGACGGGCAGCCGGCCUGAGAGGGUGACCGGUCACACUGGGACUGAGACACGGCCCAGACUCCUACGGGAGGCAGCAGUGGGGAAUAUUGGACAAUGGGCGGAAGCCUGAUCCAGCAACGCCGCGUGAGGGAUGACGGCCUUCGGGUUGUAAACCUCUUUCGCCUAUGACGAAGCGCAAGUGACGGUAAUAGGUAAAGAAGCACCGGCCAACUACGUGCCAGCCGCCGCCGUAAGAC
rnacentral:rRNA from 1 species